rnacentral:rRNA from 1 species
CCUACGGGAGGCAGCAGUGAGGAAUAUUGGUCAAUGGGCGAGAGCCUGAACCAGCCAAGUAGCGUGCAGGAUGACGGCCCUAUGGGUUGUAAACUGCUUUAUGCGGGGAUAAAGUGGGCGACGUGUCGCCCUUUGCAGGUACCGCAUGAAUAAGGACCGGCUAAUUCCGUGCCAGCAGCC